rnacentral:rRNA from 1 species
AUUGAACGCUGGCGGCAGGCCUAACACAUGCAAGUCGAGCGAGCGGCGGACGGGUGAGUAACACGUGGGAACCUACCCAUCAGAGGGGGAUAACACUUGGAAACAGGUGCUAAUACCGCAUACUGAUGGAUGGACCCGCGGUGCAUUAGCUUGUAGGUGAGGUAACGGCUCACCUAGGCGACGAUCCCUAGCUGGUCUGAGAGGAUGAUCAGCCACACUGUGACUGAGACACGGCCCAGACUCCUACGGGAGGCAGCAGUGGGGAAUAGUGCACAAUGGGCGCAAGCCUGAUGCAGCCAUGCCGCGUGUAUGAAGAAGGCCUUCGGGUUGUAAAGUACUUUCAGUCGGGAGGCGUUACCGACAGAAGAAGCACCGGCUAACUCCGUGCCAGCAGCCGCGGUAAUUC